CUCUCUCUCUCUCUCUCUCUCUCUCUCUCUCUCUCUCUCUCUCUCUCUCUCUCUCUCUCUCUCUCUCUCUCUCUCUCUUUCUUUUCCUCUCCAUUUUGUAAGCGUCAACGACAUCUCUCAUUCACGACAUUAAUGACAUCACUUAUAUUUCCAUUUAUCCAUCACUCUCAAUCUAUCAAUCUAUCGAUCUAUUGCAAAUGUCCCUCGAUUCUUUCCAUUCAUUUAGUCCUUUAUUCUUUCUCCUCUUUUGCGUUUUACCGCCCAAAGACUCACUGCACUUAUAUUUGAAUACUUUUUAGACGUAGCAAGUGCCCCUCGAAUCCUCCCUAUCCCCUUAGUUUAGCGGGAAUCACAACUAUAACAAUAAAACAACUUCCAUAAUAAUAACAACAACAACAACAACACUAACACGAAAAGCAUCCAUCCAUAAUUUUUCAGGCGCACUUUCGAUUAACGCGAGGAGGAGGAGGAGGAGGAGGAGGAGGAGGAGGAGGAGGGCUACAUACAUAAACUUUACGAGCCAGCCAACCUUCCCUUCUCAUUACCAAAGUCUCGAGCUGAUUACAUUGCCACUGAACGCCGCGCUAAUGACCCAAAUUAACAAACGCGCUGAAGGAGAGGACGGAAAAAAAGGGGAGGAGGACAAUAUUGGGAGGGGGGCAAGGGAGGGGGGUCAGGGGUGGGGAUGAUACUAUUUUUAUCUCCGUAAUGACAUAAUGAGAUCACGCCCGCCAUGUUGCCUGACGUCACGCUAACAGGCUCCAUCGCUUGGCACCGCUGGACGAAAGGAAGGGAAGGGAAUGGAAGGGAGAGAACAGGAGAAUGAGGUCGGUACUGUCACACGCUUCCACCCCUCACACCAACUAUUUUCAAAGGCCAAAAGGAGGUCUGUUGGGUUAACAUGAGUGUGUUUUUAGGUUCGUGGUACAGAGAAAGGGUAAAGCUACCACCAGGGUCAUAAAACUACUACUGGAAAGGCCAAAAAGAAGGUCUAUUGGGUUAUCAUGAGUGUGUUUUUAGGUUCGUGGUACAGAGGAAGCGUCGAACUACCAUCAGGGUCAUAAAACUACCCCUGGAAACGCCCAAAACUCCCAUGAAAGCCUUGUCAAAUAUGUGUACUUGGGCGCGGAAGUGUUUGAGAAUGGGAGGCUUAGGGGGGGGAGUGGAAGGAAUAUAUUGAAAUACAUGUGAAGAAGUUAUAUACCAGAGGAGUGGGAGGACCCGCGUUCGAGUCCCGCCCGCUGUUACAAGCUGGCAUUUUUUUCAGUCAUCGCCGAGUGGCCUAAGACUACCCACACGCUGUCCUGAAGACCGUCCGGAUAAUAUGAUAAAAACAGAAUCCAGAACAGGAGGAGGAGGUCUGUUUUUGGCGCCGCAACUGCAGGAAAAUGAAACAAUCUUCCUUUCUUCAUAUAUUCUCAUCUUCCAUUUUUGUUUUGGUUAUUCAAUAUGAUUAUUUUUCCUUCCCUUGCUUCUCCUUCUCAUUUUUUUUUUUUACCCCAUCUGACGACUCACUUAUAUAAUUUCCAUCUCUCUCUCUCUCUCUCUCUCUCUCUCUCUCUCUCUCUCUCUCUCUCUCUCUCUCUCUCUCUCUCUCUCUCUCUCUCUCUCUCUCUCUCUCUCUAACGAUCUAUUUCUCAAUCUAUUUAUCUAUCUAUCUCUGUAUUUCUCUUUCCUUUCUAUUCUGCACGCGUCAACUCUCUCUCUCUCUCUCUCUCUCUCUCUCUCUCUCUCUCUCUCUCUCUCUCUCUCUCUCUCUC